rnacentral:rRNA from 1 species
UACGAAGGGGGCUAGCGUUGUUCGGAAUUACUGGGCGUAAAGGGCGCGUAGGCGGUGCCUCAAGUCAGGCGUGAAAGCCCGGGGCUCAACCCCGGAAUUGCCUUUGAGACUGCGUCGCUAGAAUCCGGGAGAGGUGAGUGGAAUUCCGAGUGUAGAGGUGAAAUUCGUAGAUAUUCGGAAGAACGCCAGUGGCGAAGGCGGCUCACUGGACCGGCAUUGACGCUGAGGUGCGAAAGCGUGGGGAGCAAACAGG